CAACGAAUGCCGAUAAUCAUUCAAUAUCGGCGUAAUUUUCCACCUAAAAAAACUUGAUGUGAACAACACCCCAAACACCAUUCAUCGAAAUGCUCAAACUUGUACCAGCCAUCGUUGAGACAAGAGAUUUCUCCAACAUAUCAGCAAAUGCGAAUGAAACAAAUCGACGUAAUACACCAUUCGUAUGUCAUAUACCAACACCGAAUAAUUGUAGCCUUGCCGCAUCUUCCAGUGGCCAUCAACGAAAUAAUAUUGGACUACAAAAUUCCGAUUCACCAUUGACACAAUGUGUUUGGACAUUUUUCUGGUUAGCCGUACUCAUAUUCAUUGCAUAUCCAUUAGGAUUAAUUGCCGGUCAAUUCUAUCUGUUGAUAUCACCAUUGACAAACAUUGAUUGCUGUAAUCGUAUCCACAUGGGCAAAUUAUCAUCAUCGUUAUUAUGGACCAUGCAUCUGCCAUUAAUUUGUUCACAAAAUAUGAUUACUGCUAAGGCAAUGAUCGAUACUAUUUAACAUAAUGUAAAUUACGAAAAUCAUAAUCGAAAAUCAUCAUAUCAAACAAUCAAAUCUCUCUGAUUCAAUCAUCGGGAAAUAGAAUUACGAUUCCAAUUUGAAUCAUCAUGAAUAUCAUUAAAUAUAAUGUUAUUAUUAUUAUUAUCAUAUGAA